AUUGAACGCUGGCGGCAGGCCUAACACAUGCAAGUCGAGCGGUAACAGGGGAAGCUUGCUUCCCGCUGACGAGCGGCGGACGGGUGAGUAAUGUAUGGGGAUCUGCCCGAUAGAGGGGGAUAACCACUGGAAACGGUGGCUAAUACCGCAUAAUCUCUUAGGAGCAAAGCAGGGGAACUUCGGUCCUUGCGCUAUCGGAUGAACCCAUAUGGGAUUAGCUAGUAGGUGGGGUAAUGGCUCACCUAGGCGACGAUCCCUAGCUGGUCUGAGAGGAUGAUCAGCCACACUGGGACUGAGACACGGCCCAGACUCCUACGGGAGGCAGCAGUGGGGAAUAUUGCACAAUGGGCGCAAGCCUGAUGCAGCCAUGCCGCGUGUAUG
rnacentral:rRNA from 1 species